UGGCUCAGUUGGUAGAGCAUGGUGUUUGCAACGCUAGGGUGUGGGUUCGUUUCCCAC
rnacentral:tRNA from 1 species